rnacentral:lncRNA from 1 species
GGUCAGGCAGAGAGAAUCCAAACGCCCUCCACCUUUUUGUCCUGUUCCGGCUUCCACAGAUUGGACGAGGCCCACCCACCUUGGGGAGGGGCCAGCUGCUGUGUUCAGUCCGCCAUUGCAAACACGAAGCUCUUCCAGAAACGCCCUCACAGACACCCCGGAAGUCACGUACCCACUCUGUAGGUGCCCCGGGGCACAGGCAAGCGGACGAGCCAGUUAUCCCUCAGAGCUCCUGCUGCCUCGCCCGCUUUCUCUCGGAAACGUGAAGUGUGGCCUCAGCUGAAAGUGAGGUGAGCGUGAGUGUGGACAUGUGUCAGUGUGCGUGUGCAUGGGAGGAGUGUGUGUGCGCUUGAUGACGAUGAUGGAGCCCAGAAGCGUGAGCACAAUUCUUCAUGGAUUGUUGUGUGAGAUGAUGAGAAAGGAACUCACCCAUCUUUCUGGAGGGAGGAGGAGACAUGGGGGCAGGGGGGGAGCCAGAGGUGGCAGAAGGUGACACAAGCCCCAGAGUCACCCCUUCUAUCAUGCCCGAUGUCUGUGAGGCUGCUGAAUUUCCAGCCUGCUUGGCCGUGAGUGGGUCUGCAGAGAAACCGGUGGGAGCUCCGGCCUUCGGGUAUAGCUGGGGGCAUGAAUGUCUGACCAUGCCCAUGAGCAUGAAUGCAGAGAGGCAGCCAGAAAGAUGGGGGUUUGAACAAUGUCUCCCAAAUUCAGAGAGGCAGAAAGACCCUGGCUGACACCUGAGUUUCUCGUGUUACUUCAUGAGGUGUAGAUGAUGUGAUGAUACAAGAAUCCACAACUUCUCCAGACAAAUCGGUAGGACUAAUAAGAGAUCCCUGGUUAGAUUUUUCAUUCACUGAAGUUCCAUUUCAUUCUUUUUUGAAUCUAUCCAUUUUAUUGCAGGCAAGUCUUUGAUUCCGUCAUAUUUUUGAAAUAUUUGCUAUACAUAUUGUGCGUGACAGCCCACAUAUCUGAAGUCUGACUUUGUUCUUUUCUCCUCGUUUCCUGUUUUGGCUGAGUUUUGCUAUGUCUGGCUGGCUAGUUUAUUUCUACAAUUGUGUGAUUUUUAGUUAUGAACUCAUAUGGAUUCGAUAUCUAUGGUAGGUCUCUGGGGAAGCAAGCUUUUUCGGGACAUGAGAGGGCCUCAAAUAUUUGGGGAGAAUUUUCUCAUUGUGCCAAAUCCAGGGCUGAGAAAGACACUUUUCAUGGCUUUCUGCUUCUGUAGGACUGUUCCUCCGUUUCCCACUCAUCUUUUCCUUCUGUCUAGCCCUUCCUGACUCCUGGCUUCAUGGGGGUAAUUUCCAGUCCAGCUAUCAAUGACUGGGAAAGAAAUAUUAACUUUUCCCUAGUUGAUUUUAGAUGUAUUAGCUUCUUCUUGCUUAACGUUGGUGACUGCUUUAUAUAUUUUUAAGCCAAAUUAUUAUGAGCAUACAAAUUGAUCAUUUUUCAUCUCCCUUGUUAAACACUUACUCUUUUCAUCCUUUCACUUUUUAAAAACUUAAAAGCAGUAUUUUAAAUUCAGAAAUAAUUUUAUAUAUUUAUGAGGCUCUAAGGGAUGUUUUGAUAUGUGUAUACAUUGGAGAAAGGUUAACUCAAACUAAUUAACAUGCCCAUCACCUUACCUGCUCAUCAUUUCCUCACUUUUCAUCCAGCUAGGUGGCGUAGGGUACCACAAGUUGAUUUAAUCCUAGCUCCUCUGGGGACAUGAAGAACACAAGAGCCAUUAUUCUGAGGACUCUGCUGGGUCUGAGCCCUUGCUCUUGCCUCCAGGACCCACUGGCAUUCCUUUCCCUAGCAAAAGGCGGAGGCCUCUGCGGGCUCACGACCCACACAGCCGCACCUGUGAGUUGCAUGUUUACAAACGGCCUGUCUCCUGGAAAUAAAUCUUUGCACUUUUCUCAGGAAAUAUAGUCUAUAAAUCACUGUGACAUUUAAGAUGAGGAUCGCCUCCUCCCGCUCCUCUGCCUCUAAGUAUAGGCCCCCCACGCUUGCUGCAGAGCCUGGGAGGUGGCCAGCCCAACUCUGUCUGGCUGGGGUAGGGACAGUCACUUAGAGUUGAAAUCACUGACAUCUUCAGAUGUCAGCCUUGUCACCACGAAAAUGACCUUGCAUUGCAAUGAGCGGAAAGAUGACUUUGUGAAACGUUAAGCAGGUGAGUUGCCCCUGCUUCAUAUUCAUCCUGGUCUUAGAAUCCCACUGUUGUCACUUUGGCAUUCGCUUUUUAACGCUGUGAUGAUUAAUUUUAUGUGUCACCUUGGCUGGGCUAGGGUGCCCAGUUGGUUGGUCAAACACCAGUCUAGAUGCUGCUGUAAAGUUAAUUUUCAGAUGUGAUUAGCAUUUAAAUCAGUAGACUUUAAGUGAAGCACAUUACUCUCCGUCAUACAGGUGGGCCUCAUUCAAUCAGUUGAAUUCUUCAAGAGAGAAAAACUGAAGUCCCUUAGAAGGAAAGAGUUCUGCCUUCAGACUGUCUUUGAACUUAAGACUGUAGCGUCGACUCCUGCCGGAAUUUCCAGCCUGCUGGCCAGCUCUGCAGAUUCACACUUGCCAGCCUCCACAAUCGUGUGAGCCAAUUCCUUAACUUCUCUUUCUCCGUGUAUCCCUUUGGUGCUGCCUCUCUGGGGAGCCCUGACUAAUAUGCAUGCAGAUGAUACGGUGCCUGGCAUUCUGAAUACAUGCACUAAAUCCACCACUUUUCCCCAUUUAUAGAUUUGGAUUAACACACUAACUUACUCAUAUCUGCAAGUAUAAAUAAAAAAAAUUGCUGGUGCCAAUUUCAAAGUUUUGCCAUGAGGUAGCUUGAAGGAAUGACAUUUUAAGGAAUUCGCUCAAGGCCGUAGGACAUGCGAUCAGGUUGUAAUGCCAAGCAACUCUUAUUGGGCCCUCUGCUCUGAUGCCCUUCACAUCUGCCACCUCAAUGGAUUAGAGCUCUCCCUGCAGACACCCCUAGCCCCAGCUCCUGCCUAUCGUUUCUUUAACGUGCUCAUCACGCUCCAACAUGUCAUGUAUUUACUGGCUAAGUUGCCUUUUUUUAUGUGUUUUCCUGGGAUAAAUGUCAGCUCACAGAACCUAGCACCUGGCACAUAGUAGAGGCUUAAUUCCAUAUCUGUUGGAAUUGAUGCAAAUAAAUGAAUUAUUGUCAAGAGGGAGGGAGGGAGAGAGAGAGAGAAAGAGAGAGAGAGCUGUAGCUCAGGGAGUCAAAGUGCAACAGAAUGAGUGAAUGAGUUUGGGGCUCCGUCAGACCAACUUCAAGUUCCACCUCAGUCACUUGCAAGGUCAUUUAGCCUCUCUGCAUCUUGUUCUUCACAUCUAGAGUGAGUAGUAUGACUUGGAGUUCAGUACUCACCUAGAAAAUGAAGAAAAGCACAGACCACAAGCCUGGUGUAUAGUCCACACUCAGUGUGAAGGGCAUGUAUUAUUUUUGUGGGAUCCCAUAGCACUCUGCUGGCACCCCGUUGAAAGUACCUUCCCUACCUUGGAGUCAUUUGUCUUAUAGGCACUUUUGUAUUUUGUUAAUAUUUACAGUUGUAUUAUAAGCCUCUCUUUUUCCCCAUUGAGCCUGCUGUGGUGCACUGCAGGCUGGUGCAUACAGAGUGCUCCGUGGAUGCUUGCUGAGUGCCUGUGUAAGAGGGUGGACCGAUGAUGGGUCUAGUGGGUUGCAUGGCUGGCUUUCUCCAUCCAUUUAUUUAGAUGUGCGUUGCCCUGUGUGGCAAUACUCUGAUGGUAGAUCUUAGGCAAAACUCAAUUUACAGAGGACCCAAGGGUCAAAAUCCAAGUCACAGCUGUACUUUGACACCAGUGAUAAGCGACUUAGAGCAGCAUACUACCCUUUACACAAUUUUCAAAGUCAUCAUUCAGUUUAGUCCCCAUGAGCUAGAUCUGAUCAUUAUUUCUAGGUGGUGAAGCAGUGAUGUACGGCUAUUUGGCAGUGAAUUAGAGUCCCAGGUCAGCUUGAGUGUGGCUGUGAGAGGAGCUGUGGCUCUGGGUGGCAUGUUCCCCUGCACCUUGGACGUCAUGCUCCUGGGGCAGAGGUAUGAAUGAAGGAAGGCGGACUUUCCUCUCUAGCCCAGAGCUAAGGAUGACUGCACUAUAGGGAAACUGUUGGGAGGGUGCUUGGUCUGAAGGUUUGUGUCCCUUGAAAUUCACAUGUUGAAACUAUAACCCCAAAGUGAUCAUAUGGGGUGGUGGUGGGGUUGGGAGGUGAUUAAGUCAUAAGGGUGGAGCCGUCAUGAAUGGGUUUGGCCCCCUUGUAAAAUAGACCCCAGAGAGCUCUCUAGCCCUUUUUCCACUAUGUGGAGACACAGCAAGAAGACAGCCAUCUAUCAGCCAGGAAGUGGGCCCUCUUCAGACACUGAAUCUUCUGGCACAUUAAUCUUAGACUUCCCAGCUUCCACAACUGUCAGAAAUAAAUGGUUGUUGUUUAAGCCACCAGUCUAUGGUAUUUUGUUAUAGCAUCCAGAACUGACUAAGACAGAGAGGAACAUAAAUUGAGCAGGAAAGGGAAUUGCUAUGAACUGACUGUGAGUGUCUCCCCCAAAAUUCAUAUGCUGAAGCUCUAAUUCCCAAGGUGAGAGUAUUUGGAGGAGGGGCCUUUGGGAGGUAAUCAGAUUUAGAUGAGGUCUUGAGGGUAGAGUCCCUAUGAUGGGUCCCCAUAAUGGGAUUAGUUUCCUUAUGAAAGGUGACAAGACCCUUUCUCUCUCCUUCAUGUGAGGACACAGCAGGAAGGCAGCCAUCUGUGAGCCAGAAAGUGAGCCCUCACCUGAUGGCCAAGCCUGCUGAUGCUUUGGUUUUGGACUUUCCAGCCUCCAGAAUGGUGAGAAGUGAAUUUCCGCUGUUUAAACUCCCCAGUUUGUAUUGUCUUAUUGUAGCAGACUCAACUGAUUAAGACAGGACUCUAGGGGAGAAGAAGAAAGAUGGCGCAGAUAAAAGUGAGGGAAGGAAGAAGGGAAAGCAGAUCUUCGGAAGAAAGAGGCCGUAAUUUUGGACACUGGAUGUUAACCUUAGAAGAGGAAGCCCUGGGACUGUGAAGCCACAGAGGCACUCUGACCCACUCUUUCUUUCGAAUAAUACUGGAAAAUCAUCUCACUUAAACUAGCAAUAAAAGCUUGUGACUAAAUGCAAAGUUAGUAUAAAAAAAGGAACAAUUAGCAUAAUAAUAUCCCUACAGACACUAAGGCACAACAGAAAGAUAUGGUCACAAUAAACCAAAAACUUUAAUCUUUCAAAAACAAUAUGUUGUUCUUUUACAAAUAACAGAAUUUGUGAAAGAAUAGCAUCUAUCAGAAUUAAAAUAACACAUAAAUAAGGUGACUGGAUAAGUAGAUGACAAAUAGAGCUCACAGAAUUUAGUAAAUGACUAGAAAUAAAAGAAACAUCAUUUUAGAACAAGAGAGAUGAAAUCAGAGGAAAUACAAAAGUAAAUAACCAUCACAUAUAAUAUCAACAGAUAAAUAUAAAAUGUAAAAAAGGAAGUAUUUUAAAAGAAGGAAAAUUAAGAAAGACAUUAAAAAUAUUUGAAAGUAAUAAUAUAGAAGACUAGAAGAUUCAACAUAUGUAUAAUUGGAGAUGCUGAGGCAGAAGCCAAAACACGGGACAGAAUGAAUACUAAAGCCAAUACUUAUAAAACAAAGCUUCCUUAAAUGAAAAAAAAAAAAUAAAAUAAAAACUUAAAUAUUGGGAAAGAACAUACUCCAUUUGGGAAAUUCCACCUGAACGGUCAAUACAAAAGCAUAUUCUAGUAAAUUAUUGGGCUUUAGAUUGAAAUCCAAUUAUUUGGGCAUUCAUGUAAAAAGAUACAGAAUCUUACAGAGGAAAGAGAAUCAGGCUGCAUCAGACUUUUUGACAGCAAGUCUUUAUACCAGAAAAAAAAAAUGGAGAAACAGAUUUAAGAUACUCAAGGAAAACAAUGUGAGCCAACCAGCCAGACUGACUUUCAGGCAUACAUCCAUAUAAAAACUCAGAGAAUAUUAUUCCUAUGAAGCCCUCCUGAAAUGUCUAGUACCCCACACUAACUAUCCAUAUUUCUACCACCACUUUGCCCUCAUUUUUGUUACAUGAAGCUGUUUCUUAGUUAAUGUGGGGUACCAGCACCCAGAGAUGCUAGUUAGCUGGUGUACUAGGACCCAGAGAACUACUUAGCAUGGUGUAACAGCACCCAGAGAACUACUUAGCAUGAUGUACUAGCACGCAGAAAACUACUUAGCAUGGCGUAACAGCACCCAGAGAACUACUUAGCAUGGUGUAACAGCACCCAGAGAACUAGUACCGAAUGGUGACUUUGAGGAAAGCAUGCAGUAUGUAAUGGCUAUAUGCUUUAACAACGUAAUACCUGGAAAAUUAUCAAAAUUGGGGGUGAAAGGAAGAGGGGAAUAUGUAAAAAGUGGAGUAAUCUGACUGAGUAUAAGUACUAACUGAGAAAGAGGGCGGAUCACAAUGUCAGGAGAUUGAGGUCAUCCCGGCAAAGAAGAGAGGAUGAUGAAAAUACAAAAUUACUAGAGUAAAGAUGUCCAUUAGAAGAAAAAUUCACGCCCUUCUAGAUGCCGAAAGACAUGAGAGAAAAAGCAAAUAGAAAAAGCAAGUUGAGUGUUGUAUGCAGUAAGUGAAUAUCUGUGUAUGUGUGUGAUAUGACAUAUAUGUGCAAGUGUCAUAUGACUGUGGCAGACUGAAGACAAAGACAUUGAUUAUAGUGAUAAAUAAUACAUAAAAUGGGCUUAAUAUAAAUGGAAGAAAUAUUAUUUUCAGAUUGAUGAACAAAGUGAAAUCCAAGUCUGUGCUAUGUACAUGAGACGUGCCUAAAAUAAAGAAAUUUAGAAAACAAAGUACAAAUUAAGAUAUCUGGGAAAAAUGUGAACAAAAAGAAAGCAGGUGUAACAGCCAUGCUGUCUAACAAAGUAGAUGUUAGAGCUCACGGCAUUAAAAGAGAUUUAAAAGGAGGUGUUUUCAUAACACUGAAGCUACAAUUCACUAUGAAGGUAUCACAGUUAUUAAUAUACAUGUGCCCAAUAAUACAGUCACUUUCAAAGAGUAAAAAGUGCAGGAGAUACAAGGAGAAAGGAUAAAAUUAUACUCAGGGCUGGAGAAUUCACCACACCACUCUCUAUCCAAGACAAACCGUUAGUAAGAAGAUAGAAGACUUCAGUGACAUGGCCAAUGAGGCAGAUCCUACAGAAGUAUAUUGAACUCUGAACUCUGAUAAUUGAGAAUAUGGCUGCUUUUUAAAAGUGCAUGAAAUAUCUCCCAAAUUGACCAUAUCUUAUGCUACAAAGAGAAUCUCAUUAAAUCCAAAGCAUAGAAAUAAUACAAUCAGCCUUCUCCUACCACAAGCAAUAGAACUAGAAGCUAAUUGUAGCAUUAACAAAACAAAAAGAUUUGCCCACUAAACAUGUUAUUAAACAACUCUUGGAACAGCAAAAUAAAAUAAAGACAAAAUAAAGAAUGAAAUGACAGAAUUUCCUAAAAAUAGAAUUUAUAGAAUAUGGCUAAAGCAGUUAUAAAAGAAUAAUUUUAGACAAAUAAAAAUUAAUAUUAUUAAAAAUGCAAAAAGGAAAAUAAAUGAAUUAAUAUCCAACACAAAAAACUAGAAAAGAAACAAGACAGUAAACAGAAAGCAGCAAAAAGAAGUAACAAAAGUACUAAUGAGUUCAAACGAGUUGGUACAAAUGCAAUAGAACCAGAAAUACAUCCAAAAUCUGUUCGUAGACAAACUGUGAGGCCAUCUAAAAAAAAUUCUGGUGAGGUUUGGGAGAAAGAGGCACAAAUAUAAAAAACUUAGAAAUGACAAAUGCAUCAAAUCCAGAAGAAUUUAUUUUUUUUAAUCAUAAGAUUACUUUGUAGAAUUGUAUGUAAAUAAAGUAAAAUACCAAGAUAGGAUAAUUUUCUAGAAAACUGCAAAGUACCCAAACUGACCCCAUUAAAGCGAGAAUCUAAACAGGCCAGUUACCAUUAAAGAAAUAGAGGAGGUAGUUAAAGAGCACUAACUCCUUUCAAACCCCAGUUACCACAGAGGAAAUAUACCAAGUUUUAAUUAGAUCAAUUAAUAGCAAUGAUACUUAAAUAAUUUCAGAGUAUAGGGAAAAAUGGAGAACAUCCAAAUUCUUUUUAUGAAGCAAGUAAAACCUCUAUAAUAUGACAGAACUUUUACUAUAAGACAAAAGUACUAACUAACUUCACUUAUGAACAUAGAUGCACAAAGGUCUUAGCUAAAAUGUAAUUAAGCAGAAGCAAACAGCAUGUAACAAAAUAAUGCAUCAAGACCAGGUGGUUGUUUUACCAGGAACAGGAAGAUGGUUCAAUAUGAGAAAAUAUAUUAAUAUAAUCCAUCAAAUGAAUAUAGCUAAGCAGAAAUGUCAUCUGGUCACUUCAAAAAUAGAAGAGGCAUUUUAUGUAAUCAAGCAUAUUCAUGUUAAAAACACUUGAUAAAAAUAGCAAUUGAUGUAUCCAGAAGUUAGCAUACUACUCAAUGGCAAACAAAUAUGUCCUCUGGCUAAAGACAGGAGGAAAACAAGAAUGCCUGAAUCUCUUAUGCCAUCUAGGAUUGUGUUGAAAAUAUUAGACAGUGCAAUUAGCCAAGAGAAAGGAGUCAGAGGCACAGGCACUAGAAAAGCAGAGGAAAAAAUAAAACCAUCUCUGUUUGCAGAUGAGAAAAUUACGUAGCUUGAAAAUCCCCCCAAAAAUCAAAGGAAAACUAUUACCACCCCCAGAAGAGAGAGAGAGAGAGAGAGAGAGAAUUGCUAAAAAUGGCAUAUUAUAAAAUCAACAAUUUGCACAUCAGUAAGAACUUUUGCUUCCAGGAAGAUGGAUAAUUUUCCCUAUUUCUUCUACUAAUUUCAACUACCUACUGUGGACAUUAUACAUAGAACAAACCUAGGACGACUCCCAAGGUGCAGAGGGAAAAACAGGCUGACCUCAGCACCCAAGAAACAGCUUGGUGGUGAGUUUCCUGGGUUUUCUUUUGUCUUCAUAGUUCCUGGAUUUGAAACUGAAGAAGCAAGCAAUCUGGAAAUGUCAGUGGAUGCACACAAAGAAACAACCGCAAAAGCCUGCUCGCUCUAGCCAAGGGACAAGAAUAGGGGCAGUCCAUCAAGACAGAAUCCUUUUAAAAAAUAACCACUCCACUCCAGCAAUACCACAGAAGAAUCUGGCUGUACCCCAGGUACAUCAGCAAAGAUAACCUUUACCUAGCAGUAAAGAGGUCCCCCUUACACUGGGAGCCCUAGUGAAGAGCAGGGACUUUCACCCCCACCUAGCAGUGAUGGGGCCCCACCCACCACAGUGCCAGCAGAGACCAUGUGGGAGCCAGAAUCCUCAUCCCUACCCAGCAGUAACAAGGAGCCCUCCUCACUGCGGGCAUCAAGGGUGAGUGAGUGCAAAACCUGGGUGUCACUCGGAAGGGAAGAAUGGUGUCUCCUUCCUUCCCAUCCCCUGCCAGAGUGAUAUCACUAGGAAAAAGAAAAUAAUUUAUCACCAGCAAAUCUACCCUACAGCUAAAACAGAGGGCUUAAGUUAGGCCCAGAAUCUCAUGACAUAAUACGAAAAUGUCCAGAAUUUAAUAGAAAAUCACUUAUUCUACUAAAAAUGGAGAGGAUCACACAAUGGGUGAAAAGACAAUCAGUGCAUGCCAUACAAAUUGACAGAGAUGUUGGAAUUAUUUGACAAAGGUUUUAAAACAGCGAUGAAAAUGCUUCAAUAAACAAUUACGAACACACUUAAACAAAGGAAAACAAAGAAAGCCUCAGCAAAGAAAUAGAAAGCCUCAGCAAGGCAAUAGAGAUAUAAAGAAAAAAAAAUGAGUAGACAUUUUAUUAUUUAUUUAUUUAUUUAUUUAUUUGAGAUGGAGUCUCCCU